rnacentral:rRNA from 1 species
GACGAACGCUGGCGGCGUGCUUAACACAUGCAAGUCGAACGAAGUGGCGAACGGGUGAGUAAUGCGUAAUCAACCUGCCCUUCAGAGGGGGACAACAGUUGGAAACGACUGCUAAUACCGCAUACUGAAGGAGGGGUUUGCGUGUGAUUAGCUCGUUGGGGGGGUAACGGCCCACCAAGGCGAUGAUCAGUAGCCGGGUUGGGAGGGUGAACGGCCACAUUGGGACUGAGGCAAGGCCCAGACUCCUACGGGAGGCAUGAGUGGGGAAUCUUGCGCAAAGGGGGAAAGUCUGACGAAGCAACGCCGGGGGAGUGAUGACGGCCUUCGGGUUGGAAAGCUCUGUUAAUCGGGACGCGGUACCGGAAGAGAAAGCCACGGCUAACUACGUGCCAGCAGCCGCGGUAAUAC